CAAAGACCUGAAGUUCACCAUGUUCUUAUCCAUGGGUUGUCCAUGAGAGAAGCCGGGCAAAGAGUGCAGCCGAAUGUGAACCGCUUCACAGUAGCCUCUAUAAACCGGACCUUCAGAGAGGAAAAUAGAAGGAGUCAAAGACAAAUGCGU